ACAUCAAGGACAUGAAUGUAAUUCAUUGAAUAUCAGUUGUUGGCAUUGUAAGGAGGCACAUAAAGCGUUUGACCCAGACUGUAAGGAAAGACAAAGACAAGAUGACAUAAGAAAGGCAAUGGCUUACAAUAAGCUAACUUUUAUGGAAGCUGCUAAACUAUACCCAGUUCAAAGACAAGUACAGUACAGACUCCAAGAUAAGGCCGAAUUUCCAGAACUAGAUGAACCUGAAAACCAAGAACAAGAUUUAAUCGUGAAUACAGAAAACCCCCAAAACCAAACCCUCAAAAACAAACCUCCAAACGUGAUCAACCAAAAACAAGUCAUUAACAAGAACACACCGCCAAACAAUACCCAGACGAAUAACAACAAUAAUAAUGCUCCCUCAGAAUACAUAACAAAAACAGAACUUGAACAGAUCGUCAACAAACUUAAGGUAGAAAUUAUUAAACAACUCAAUGUAACUAAACUCAUCAACAAAAUAAAACAAAUCCAAGAAACAAUUGUUAACAACAUUUCACAGGCUAAUGAAACAAACAGUAAAACAAACAACCAUCAACUUCUAAUUGACAUAAAUAAACAACUUAACGAACUGGUCAAUCCCGAGAUUCUACAAAAUUCUGAACCUCCCGACCGUAAAUCCUGAAAUGGCUGACUUCAGGAAUUUAAACUUCCUCCAAAACAAUAUCAAUAGCAUUCGUCCAACUGCAAACCGGUCAUUACUUUCUCAUUUGCUACAAUCACAUAAAAUAGACAUUGCUUUCUUAUCUGAAAUUUGGUUAAAACCAAACGAAGAUUUUAAAUUUGCCGGAUAUAAGUUCCCAAAACGAACCCGUGACAAUGGUUAUGGGGGAGUGGGGUUCUUAAUAAAAAACGAAAUUGAUUUUGAAAUUUUGAAAAUUCCUGAUUUACAUCCCAUAGAAGCAAUAGCUGUCAAAACUCUUAACACUUCUGUCCCAUAUUUACUUAUUUCAAUUUAUAUCCCCCCCAGUCCAAUUAACAAUAACCAAAUUAAACAUCCCUUAAAACUUCUUUUUGAUUUCAUUGAUAAAGUAAAUAUAAGUACAGUUUUAGCUGGUGACUUUAAUGCCCAUCAUCCAAUCUGGAAUAAUGCUAACAAAAUUUGCCCAAGAGGAGAACUUCUAAUUGAUUUGAUAGACAAUAAGGACAUUACUUCAAUAAAUGAUGGCUCACCUACAAUGCUUAAACCACCUAACACUACUCCAUCUGCAAUAGACAUUACAUUCGUUUCAUCUGAUUUAGCCCCGAAAACCAGUUGGACGGUUUUGGAUGAAGAAAUUUGUGGAGACCACAAAAUAAUAAUUUUCCAAAUUCUUAAUGCUGCAAAACACUUCAACUACCAAACAGUACUAGUAAAUAACAAGAAAGCAAUAGAAAAUCUAAACCUGAUCGAUCCAAAUUCUUUAAACACCCCAAAUGAACUGAUAACCUCUUUCAAUCAAAUAAUAACAGAUGCUAAAUACAAACCCAACAAAAAGUUCCAACCAAAAAAGUGGUGGACUACUGAAAUUCAAAAUCUUCUUGUUGAUAAAAACAAAAAACUUGUUGCAUACUGUAAAAAUUUAACUUUAGAAAACUUUCUAGCAUUUAAAAAAGCAAGAACAAUUUUAAAAGCUAAAAUUCGUAAAGAGAAACGAAAAAGCUUUCAUCAAUUAACGGACUUAUUGACCCCAGAAUUAAAUAUCAAACAACUUUGGUCCACUGUGAAACUAAUAAGUGGUGGAUAUUCAAAUAAGAAUAACAUUAAAUUGUUAAAUGAUCCAAUUCUGUCAUCUCAGUUUAUGGACACAAAUUUUCCAAACAUAACAAACGAAGUUCAAUAUAAUAUUCAACCCACUGUAAAUAAAUUAUCUAUUAAUUUUAAUGAAGUUUUUAGUUAUAUUCGCUCAAAGAAAAACAGUUCAGCUCCUGGCCCUGAUAACAUUUCCUUUCUUAUUCUUAAAAACCUUAACUUUGAAUUACUACAACAAAUAAGUUUAAUUUGUAAUAAUGUUUUAACUUCUUUAACCAUUCCUUUGGAUUGGUUAAAAAUUAAAUGUGUUCCUAUCCUAAAACCCGGUAAGCCUGAAAAUUCUUCGGAAUCGUAUAGACCUAUAUGUUUAAUCUCAACUUUUCUUAAAACUAUAAAUAUGAAAAUCAAAAAAGAACUAAAUAAAUAUACAACAGAAAAUGACAUUAUCCCUAAAUAUUCCUUUGGCUUUAAAAAGAAAACAUCAUCUGUAAAUUGUGUAAAUACCUUAGUUUCCUUAGUAAAUAAAGCAAAGAGUGAGAGUAAAAUAGUUUUAGUAACAUUUCUGGACUUAUCUAAAGCUUUUGAUAAUGUAAAUAUAUCUAAACUACUUAAUAUUCUUAAAGAUUAUAAUUACCCUCCGGAAUUAGUGAAUUGGCUGUAUAUAUAUUUAAAACAAAGGAAUAUUAUCCUUACACUUAACGAUGGUAGCACAAUAGAAAGACAGACUAAUAAGGGUCUUCCACAAGGUUGCCCAUUAUCACCAAUCCUUUUUAACAUAUAUACUUCGAAACUUCAUUCUACUGAAAUAGAGGGUAUUCUUAUUCAAUUUGCAGAUGAUUUUGCUUUGGUAACCGAAGGUGAUAAUUUAACUAUUGCCAGUAAUAAAAUGAACUCAUCUCUUAACUUAAUAAACUCUGAAUUAAUAUCCUUGGGAAUGAAAGUAAAUUCAAAUAAAUCAGGUACAAUAUGCUUUUCCAAUAAUCCUCCCGAUAACAUUAAUAUUCAUAUAAACAAUAAUCCAAUAGAAAUCAAAGCUGUACAUAAAUAUUUAGGUAUCUGGAUUGAUCAAAAACUUAACUUCAAAACUCAUAUCACAGAAACUGUAAAUAAGUGUAAACGAAAAAUUAAUAUACUAAAAAUGCUCAGCAGAAAAAAGGGUGGUUGCCAUCCAGCUACUUUGCAAAAAAUAAAUAACUCAAUUAUUAGAUCCGUUUUAGAUUAUGGUAUUUCAGUUUAUUCCUCCUCUAGUAAAACAGAUUUCAAUAGACUUGAAAAAGUUCAGAACUUAUCCAUACGAACUAGCUUCAGAUUUUUACAAUCAACCCCAAUUCAUGUAAUAUAUGCAGAAGCAGGUGAACUCCCAUUAAAAUACAGAGCACAAUAUUUAACUUUCAAAGAAAUCCUUAAAACUUUAUUCUAUAAUAAUAGUCCUACUGUAAAUAAAAUUAAAGACUUGAUCAAUUCAGAUGUAAUACCUAAAUACACUUCUUAUUUAGAAAAAGUUGCAUCAAUUAAUAAUUUUCACAUUCUUCAAUGCAAAGCUUCAAUAGACGACACAAUUACACUAGACGAUCUAAACAAACUCAUUAUUAACCCGGUAAUCAACAAUUUAAAUAAAAAUACAACCCCCAUAUCAGUUCAAAAGUUGUUGGUACAAUAUUUACUUAGAGAUAACUUUUCAACUCAUUUUAAAAUUUUUACAGAUGGCUCUAAAACAAUUCAAGGUGUAGGUUACGGUUUUUAUGAUGAGAAAAAUAGAAAGUCUUUCAGCUUUAAACUUAGUCCAGCUUUUUCAAUAAUGAAUGCAGAAUUAGUAGCAAUUAUAGAAGCAAUAGAAUACGCAAUUAGCAUAAACCAACUUAAAAUAGUAAUUUUGACAGACUCACAAAGUAGUUGCCUCAAUCUUCUCAACCCUAAUACAGACAAUUAUUUAAUAAAUAAACUUUUUACAUUGAUUUACUACAAUAAUUUGGAAGAAAUUGUUAUACAAUGGAUUCCAGGACAUGUAAAUAUAUUGGGUAAUGAUAGAGCUGAUGCAGCUGCUAAGUUAGGUGUAAAUAGAACACAACAAGAAAACUAUGCUCUUACUUUAGGAGACUGCCUGUUAAAUUUUAAACAUGAACUUUUAACUGAAUGGACCAGAGAAUAUGAAAUGUUAUCUACAGAAAAAGGUAUUAAACACUUUGAAAUAAUGGAUAAAAUAGAACUUAAACCAUGGUUUUACAAUAUACAACUAUCAACAACAGAAACCAUAAUAAUCAAUAGAAUUCGAACUUUUCAUACGGCUACCAAAGAAAGACUUGCACAAUGGAAACUCAUUAGAUCAGACAUUUGUACCACUUGCAAUAUCCAGGAAAAUCUACACCAUAUCCUUUUUGAUUGUGUUAGACUUUCAACAAUUAGAAGUAAGUACCCUGUUCUCAUUCAGAAACUUGAAUUAAAAAAUAUAUUAAAAAAUAAAAAACUAGACCAGUAUUUACAGUUGGCUGAAUUCAUCAAUGAAGCAAAAGUUAGUGUUUGAUUCUUGUAAAUAUUCCUUUUUAUUAUCAUAUUUAAUUAUCAUUAUUUAAUCACUUUAUCUGAAUAAUCACUGGAGUAGUUGGUAUAGAUUACACUUUCAUGAAAACACUCAAAUAGUUUUGUUCGCGUAACCGUCAUUUUGAAUAACUGAUACAAACUUGACACUUGGCAAAUAUGGACCAAACAGGUCUGAGCCAUUUAAAAGGGAGAGAAAAAAAAAAAAAAACGUGUUUGGCUCGUUUGUGCUCGCGUUUUUAGUUUUUCAGUUGAUUUUUAAUACUAAAAAUAAUAAUUUUGGAUUUAACGGGGUGAUAAGUGUUCUAAAUAGUGUAUUACAUCGUAACAAGUGCCACUUUCCACCACAAUCAGGUCCACCAGAAGAGUCAAAAGAUGGGCAAACGGAACAUCAAAAAUCGCAAUCAACAGAAGCAGACGGCCAAAAAAGUUAAAAAUGUUUUCGCCGUCAAUCAGGCCAAGAAAGGAAACGUUAAGAAAGCGAAAGAAGUGA